rnacentral:rRNA from 1 species
ACGAAAAAUGAAUACCAAGUCUCAAGAGUGAACACGUAAUUCAUUACGAAGUUUAAUUCAUUGAGCAUCAAACUUUUAAAUUGAAGAGUUUGAUCAUGGCUCAGAUUGAACGCUGGCGGCAGGCCUAACACAUGCAAGUCGAACGGUAACAGGAAGCAGCUUGCUGCUUUGCUGACGAGUGGCGGACGGGUGAGUAAUGUCUGGGAAACUGCCUGAUGGAGGGGGAUAACUACUGGAAACGGUGGCUAAUACCGCAUAACGUCGCAAGACCAAAGAGGGGGACCUUCGGGCCUCUUGCCAUCAGAUGUGCCCAGAUGGGAUUAGCUUGUUGGUGAGGUAACGGCUCACCAAGGCGACGAUCCCUAGCUGGUCUGAGAGGAUGACCAGCCACACUGGAACUGAGACACGGUCCAGACUCCUACGGGAGGCAGCAGUGGGGAAUAUUGCACAAUGGGCGCAAGCCUGAUGCAGCCAUGCCGCGUGUAUGAAGAAGGCCUUCGGGUUGUAAAGUACUUUCAGCGGGGAGGAAGGUGUUGUGGUUAAUAACCGCAGCAAUUGACGUUACCCGCAGAAGAAGCACCGGCUAACUCCGUGCCAGCAGCCGCGGUAAUACGGAGGGUGCAAGCGUUAAUCGGAAUUACUGGGCGUAAAGCGCACGCAGGCGGUCUGUCAAGUCGGAUGUGAAAUCCCCGGGCUCAACCUGGGAACUGCAUUCGAAACUGGCAGGCUUGAGUCUUGUAGAGGGGGGUAGAAUUCCAGGUGUAGCGGUGAAAUGCGUAGAGAUCUGGAGGAAUACCGGUGGCGAAGGCGGCCCCCUGGACAAAGACUGACGCUCAGGUGCGAAAGCGUGGGGAGCAAACAGGAUUAGAUNNNNNNNNNNNNNNNNNNNNCCCUGGUAGUCCACGCCGUAAACGAUGUCUACUUGGAGGUUGUGCCCUUGAGGCGUGGCUUCCGGAGCUAACGCGUUAAGUAGACCGCCUGGGGAGUACGGCCGCAAGGUUAAAACUCAAAUGAAUUGACGGGGGCCCGCACAAGCGGUGGAGCAUGUGGUUUAAUUCGAUGCAACGCGAAGAACCUUACCUGGUCUUGACAUCCACGGAAGUUUUCAGAGAUGAGAAUGUGCCUUCGGGAACCGUGAGACAGGUGCUGCAUGGCUGUCGUCAGCUCGUGUUGUGAAAUGUUGGGUUAAGUCCCGCAACGAGCGCAACCCUUAUCCUUUGUUGCCAGCGGUCCGGCCGGGAACUCAAAGGAGACUGCCAGUGAUAAACUGGAGGAAGGUGGGGAUGACGUCAAGUCAUCAUGGCCCUUACGACCAGGGCUACACACGUGCUACAAUGGCGCAUACAAAGAGAAGCGACCUCGCGAGAGCAAGCGGACCUCAUAAAGUGCGUCGUAGUCCGGAUUGGAGUCUGCAACUCGACUCCAUGAAGUCGGAAUCGCUAGUAAUCGUGGAUCAGAAUGCCACGGUGAAUACGUUCCCGGGCCUUGUACACACCGCCCGUCACACCAUGGGA